CGAAAGCCUGACGGAGCAAGACCGCGUGGGGGAUGAAGGCUCUUGGGUUGUAAACCCCUUUUCUCAGGGAAGAAGUUCUGACGGUACCUGAGGAAUCAGCAUCGGCUAACUCCGUGCCAGCAGCCGCGGUAAGACGGAGGAUGCAAGCGUUAUCCGGAAUUAUUGGGCGUAAAGCGUCCGCAGGUGGCUCUUCAAGUCUGCCGUCAAAACUCAGGGCUUAACCCUGAACAGGCGGUGGAAACUGAAAAGCUAGAGUGCGGUAGGGGUAGAGGGAAUUCCCGGUGUAGCGGUGAAAUGCGUAGAGAUCGGGAAGAACACCAGUGGCGAAAGCGCUCUGCUGGACCUGCACUGACACUGAGGGACGAAAGCUAGGGGAGCG
rnacentral:rRNA from 1 species